GACGUAGGGCGCGAGCGUUGUCCGGAUUUAUUGGGCGUAAAGAGCUCGUAGGCGGUGUGUCGCGUCGGCCGUGAAAACCUGCAGCUUAACUGUGGGCUUGCGGUCGAUACGGGCAUCACUGGAGUUCGGCAGGGGAGACUGGAAUUCCUGGUGUAGCGGUGAAAUGCGCAGAUAUCAGGAGGAACACCGGUGGCGAGGGCGGGUCUCUGGGCCGAUACUGACGCUGAGGAGCGAAAGCGUGGGGAGCGAACAGG
rnacentral:rRNA from 1 species